rnacentral:rRNA from 1 species
UACAGAGGUCUCAAGCGUUUGUUCGGAUUCAUUGGGCGUAAAGGGUGUGUAGGUGGCGCCGUAAGUCGGGUGUGAAAUUUCGGAGCUUAACUCCGAAACUGCAUUCGAUACUGCGGUGCUUGAGGACUGGAGAGGAGACUGGAAAUUCAUGGUGUAGCAGUGAAAUGCGGUAGAGAUCAUGAGGAAGACCAGUGGCGAAGGCGGGUCUCUGGACAGUUCCUGACACUGAGACACGAAGGCCAGGGGAGCAAAACGGG